GACUCGAGCCCAAGCCAGGGUCACCCUUCGAGCCGAAUCGGCCUGGCCGAGGCCGGGUUUCGCUGGCUGGUAAGGUUUGGGAGCGUAGGUUCGGCGGAGGCGGAGGCGGAGGCGGAGGCGGAGGUGGAGGGGCGCCUAGAGGGUAGGUAGGUACCGGCGGCGGCGGGGCCGGGCGUCCGAGGAGGACGCGGACGCAGAGGGUGAGGGGGAGACGUUGGGUCGCGGCAGGGGGCAGGGCGAGGAGAGGGUGGACUGCGGCGUGGAGGUGGGUGGUGGCGGUGGCGUCGGUUGCGAGGGCCCGCGGGGCCGGGGCCUGGGCUUCGAGGCCCUGGAGGAGAAGCGGAAGGUGGGGCGGCACGUGCAUAUGGGCAGGGAGCAGCUGCAGGGCUCUCCUCCCGACCCGCUGGAACUGCGCGCGCUCCUGCCUCCCCCCCGGUUCCUCCGCCUCCACACCCGCCUGUCGCAGUUCUUCUUCGCCUUCGCGUUCUACUUGUUCGUGUUCGAGGCGUUCGAGGCCUUCGCGGAGGCGGCGGUCUGGACUCGAGUACCUAGGGCCGAACUCCUAACACUAACGUUCCUCCAGGAGGCCACGGCGACGGUGUGGCCAAAGUUCGACUACCAAAGAAGGUCAAUAAAACCAAACCAAUAUCCUCAUCGUCAAGACCAUGGUUGUUGCGUUAACGACGCUGACCCGUGCAUGGAUGUUUGUGACAUUACUGUUCCUCGGUCCUUGCCCGACAAAGUACAGACCUAAAGACCGUCCGUUUAUUUCGAAGUUUACGGCCAGAUUGAGUAAACAUGACAAGAAAGGGGUCUAGUUACGAUAUUGGAGUCAUAUGAGCACGGUCUUCUUGAAACAGAAUUUAUCAAGUACUCAACGGGACUUAAACACAUACGAUAUAAGGGUCAAAACGAAGUAACCGACCAAGUGCUUAUCAAUGGUCGCCAGCUGGGGAAAACGUUUGGUAUGGACCGAAAGUUUAAAUCGUAAAGUCUAUCGUAAUGGACUUCAAAUAAACAUAGAGUAAACGGACCACUGACAAUUCUCACCUUACAAUUCUACACUGAAUAUAAAGACCCCACCAAAGGAACUAGAACACGUAUGAGGUACGGUUGUCGUGUACCGUCCUAGUACACUUGAAUUUGUUCUACAAGAUUAUGCGAACACGUAAGACCAAAAACAUUACCGUAACGUUGAGGAAAGAAUU
rnacentral:rRNA from 1 species